rnacentral:rRNA from 1 species
GGCCCGACCGGGUGGUCCGCCGCUUCGGCGGCGAGUACUGCCUUCUUGCGUCGGGCCUUUCCUCCCGGGGAACGGCGGUUGGGCUGUCCUCGGAUAGCCUACCGCCGGGAGCCGGGACGUUUACCUUGAAAAAAUUAGAGUGUUCAAAGCAGGCAUGUGCCGGAAUAAUUGCGCUGGGAAUAAUGGAAUAGGACCUGUGGUCUUGUUUUGUUGGUUUUUAGGACCGCGGUAAUGAUUAAUAGGGAUAGUUG